GACGAACGCUGGCGGCGUGCUUAACACAUGCAAGUCGAACGGAAAGUCCCUGCUUUUGUUGGCUGCUCGAGUGGCGAACGGGUGAGUAACACGUGAGUAACCUGCCCUUGACUUUGGGAUAACGUCAGGAAACUAGGGCUAAUACCGGAUAGGAGCUCCUGCUGCUUGGUGGGGGUUGGAAAGUUUCGGCGGUUGGGGAUGGACUCGCGGCUUAUCAGCUUGUUGGUGGGGUAGUGGAUUACCAAGGCUUUGACGGGUAGCCGGCCUGAGAGGGUGACCGGCCACAUUGGGCCUGAGAUACGGCCCAGACUCCUACGGGAGGCAGAAGUGGGGAAUAUUGCACAAUGGGCGGAAGCAUGAUGCAGCAACGCCGCGUGCGGGAUGACGGCCUUCGGGUUGUAACGCGCUUUCGCCUGUGACGAAGAGUGAGUGACGGUAAUGGGUAAAGAAGCACCGGCUAACUACGUG
rnacentral:rRNA from 1 species